AUACGUAGGUGGCAAGCGUUGUCCGGCAUUAUUGGGCGUAAAGCGCAUGUAGGCGGUUUGGUAAUUCGGUCGUGAAAAUGCGGUGCUUGACGCCGUAUGGCGAUUGAAACUGCUGAACUUGAGUGCGGGAGCGGAAAGGGGAACACCCCGUGGAGCGGUGAAAUGCGUAGAUAUUGGGAAGAACACCGGUGGCGAAGGCGCCUUUCUGGACUGUGCCUGACGCUCAGAUGCGAAAGCCAGGGUAGCGAACGGGAUUAGAUACCCCGGUAGUCCUGGCCGUAAACGAUGGGUACUAGGUGUGGGAGGUAUCGACUCCUUCCGUGCCGGAGUUAACGCAAUAAGUACCCCGCCUGGGGAGUACGGCCGCAAGGCUUAAACUCAAAUGAAUUGGCGGGG
rnacentral:rRNA from 1 species